CUGGCUUUUGUGAAGGAAGGCAUGGACAAUGUGGUGAAGUAGACGCCUCCGGCCACCAUAUGUUUCAAUCACCUCCCCAUCCUGAGAGGCCUCUCUGAAGACGAAGACAAUCACACCCCAGCUAAGGACAAAAGCCUCAGCACAGCUCAUUGUCCACCUGCAGGAGGGUGGCCCACUCACCUCAAAGAAGACUGUUCUCAUUUCUCUCACCCAUAACCUCAUUGAGAAAUCUAGCCACAGCUCCACACAGGAACCGGAACCACAAGAAUGCCAAGAACAGGAUGUGGCAAGCAUUUCUGUCACUCCAACGCCGGCCUUUCUGGCCAAGUCAACUAUUUGGCACUCCUCCCUGGAUGUGUGUUGGGAUGCACUGUGCUGUAUUUGGCCUGGACUAUGGCCUAUGCUCUGUCCUCCUUUUUUCCCUGCCUGCCCUCUUUCUGAGAAUCCUAGCACCUUCCUGGUGUGCCUCAGUGUCUUCAACAUAGAACACUUCCCAAUCCAGCAGGGAGGAAGUUCAUGGGGAUCUGUUUCCUGUCUGUUUCCCCUCCACACCUGUUUCUGGAUGAUUGAGCAGGUGCAAUGAUGGUAGAGCUGUGGGCUUCCAUACCUGCCUGGGACAGGGAAGCUUUUUCAGUCUCCAUGUCCCACUGGAUGGCUGUGUGGCUGCCUCUGGCUUCUCCAAAAGGUGCUGGUGCAAUUCAUCUGCACUUCUUCUCUCGUUCUUCAGGGCCAUCGAUCACUAUGCCCCUGGGGAAAGUGCCUUCAAGCACUGACUCUUUUGGCUGCCAUGGAUGCCAGGGGGCGAGCCAAGGGGACUGUGUUUUGCUGGGUGCAGGGGUUGUUGCAUCAGGGGUACCUGCCAGGUGGCAGGGUGGGGAAACCAUGCAUUGAGUUCCCUGAGAUCUUUCUGUCCCCAGUGAGGCCCUUCCCACCCCUCUCCAUUGUAGCCGCUUCACUGCUUGACUGGUAGGAUCCAAAAUUGGAUCUGAAGAUGAGUGGGGAGAGCCCAUCAGGCACCCUGAAUUUUCUCCUCCACCAGAAGCCGAAAUAUGAGAGUGCUGGAGGCUGUCCUGAGGACAAGAGUCUUAUGGAUUUGACCCCAGCUUUGUCACAUGUACGCCCAUUUCCCAUGGUGCCUCAAGCCUGCUGCUUUUGUCAACAGGGUGUCGGGGUAGGGACAGCAUGCUUUGAGUUGCCUGAGGCUUUUCUGUGUCCAGUGAGGACAUUUGUGUCCCUCUCCAUUGUAACCCCAUCCCUGCUUACCUGGUGGUAUCCGAAAUCGGAUACGAAGAGGAGUGGGGAGAACCAAUCAGGCACUCUGAAGCAUCUCAUCCGCCAGGAGCCAAAGCACAAGAGCACUGGAGGCGAUCCUGUGGACCAGUGUCUUAUGUAUUUGACCGCAGCUUUCUCACAAAGGAAUGGAAAGAGCACAUCGGCCACCCUGAAGCCAGAAGCCAAAGCAGAAGAGCACUGA
rnacentral:lncRNA from 13 species